AUGUGAUCGUCUCUCGCAUAUCAAUAAGCGGAGGAAAAGAAACUAACAAGGAUUCCCUUAGUAACGGCGAGUGAAGCGGGAAGAGCUCAAAUCUGAAAUCUUCAAGGUUUUACCUUGACGAAUUGUAGUUUAAAGAAGUGUUUUCUGUUGAAGUUUUGGUAAAAGUUCUUUGGAAUAGGACAUCAUAGAGGGUGAGAAUCCCGUAUUUGACCAUUAUUUUCAGCUGUGUGAUACACUUUCAAAGAGUCGGAUUGUUUGGGAAUGCAGUCCAAAAUGGGUGGUAAAUUUCAUCUAAAGCUAAAUAUUGGCGAGAGACCGAUAGCGAACAAGUACCGUGAGGGAAAGAUGAAAAGAACUUUGAAAAGAGAGUUAAACAGUACGUGAAAUUGUCAAAAGGGAAGCGUUUGACACCAGUGUUGUUUUCUCGAAAAUCAAUUAAAAAGAGUUAGAUUUUGUUAUGUAUUGACCUUAACAGCUUGCAUUUCAAUUUUCUUGCUUUUUUUAAUGCACUUUUCGUUUAACAAGUCAACAUCAGUUUCUUUUGUUGUAAAAAGGUCAUUGGAAGGUGGCUUUCUUUUCGGAGAAAGUGUUUAUAGCCUUUGACUCCUGCAAUCGGAGAGACUGAGGUCUGCAGCGUAGAUCCUUCGGGGUUAGAUACAUUUGUGCUAAGUUAUAGCUUUUUAUAGACAUCUUGUUGACUAUGAUUAGUCUUGUAGCUUACUCGCUUAUGCUAUUUUACCUACGCUUAGGAUGUUGAAGAUGUAGCACAUCAU
rnacentral:rRNA from 1 species